AAUAAAAUCCUCUAGGCUUUGUAGAAGGAGACAACCAGUUCAAAGGACUUUACAUAAGACUACUUGGAAAAGUUGCAUUUCAUUGCGCUACAAUGAGCAAAGAAACCGAGUGGCUAUAAAUGACUCCAAGUGCAUUCUAAUGCCUAUAAGGACCUCCAACCGCCGCCUGGAACCUUCCAAGUUCUCCUGCCAUCUGGUCUACCUUCAAAGUAAACACACGCCAGAAGCAGGUGUUUUGCACCUUUAAACCAAGAGUGCUGGUGGGAGUCUGACCAUCUGGACAGCAGCAGGAUUCUGUGGACUUACCUAGUUCCACGAGGAAGAUACCAAAAUCCUUUUCUUGGCUGCAUAGGUGCCGAAGGAGCACUCAGGCAUUCCGGAAGUCAGCAAUGACCAAGUCUCAGCUGUAGAUCCGUGGUGCUCCUCCUCACACUGUCCUUCUGGCUCUCCUCUCAUGGACAGGACAGUUUGUUCCGCAAGUAACUACUGUCGCCAAACACUGUUCAAUAUAGGGACCUCAAGAGCAGGAAGAGGUUGCUUCCUGCAGGUAGCACGAUGCAAUCUGGUGCCAGGAAGCGCUUCUGUUGUGCUGACAGGCUGAGCCUCCGGAUAGUAACUCAUUAUUGCUAAAGUCUACCCGAGGCUCCUUCUCAGCUUCCAGAGGAGCAAAGCGAAGACUGCCUCAUUGCUCCUAUGUGAGUGGCUGGGCACACACUAUGGCUUUGCUCACAUCACCAGACAUCGUCUGUUCUUGCUGCAAGUUAGCAAUCUGAUUAAGAUUUCUGGUUAAAGUGCUAUCAAUGCGACCUCUUGUUCCUUAGACGUGACUUGUUGUAUGUUGAUUACUGUGUAUGACAUGGAAAGAUGGAAAGAUGUGGAGACUUUGACAUUUCCCCAGUUCUUUCUGACCUCCCCCAGGCAGGGAGAGUGAUACAGACAGGAUGGGGGUUAGAGGAUUCUGAGAGGGAAAAUGCAGGUUAGGGGAUUAAGGAGGGGGAGGGAGAAGUCAGGUUGGAUUUGUGAAAUGUAAAACAGGACACUUGGCAGCAAGCAUCUUGUCCUCUUCCCUCACAAGAUGCUUCUAAGUUUGUCCUUGCUUCUGAAAAAUCAGUGUCGUUGCUAGGACGUGCUUACUCAUAAUAAAGGUGUGAGUU